GAACCAUUGUUGUCUAGUGGUUUGAGUGUUGGACUAUAACUCUAGAGACCAGGGUUCAAAGCCCUGAUCAGCCA
rnacentral:tRNA from 1 species